CAGCACCAUAUUCUGUGGAUCCCAAUAUAAUGCAUUUUUUUAAUGGGGUGUAUUAUUGGUUAUGAUAAAUAUUUGCCCAUUUCUUUCUGAUGAUAAACGUAAUGCAUAUUUAUGUAUCUGUGUUGCAGGUCAUUCACAAGUGGCUCCAGUCUGGUUUGGGGGUCCUGCCAUCCAAGUAAAGUUAUUCACAAGUGGCUCCAGUCUGGUUUGGGGGUCUAUGCUUUCUCAUCCUGUCCUGCCACCCAAGUGAAGUUAUUCACAAGUGGCUCCAGUCUGGUUUGGGGGUCUACGCUUUCUCAUCCUGUCCUGCCACUCAAGUGAAGUUAUUCACAAGUGGCUCCAGUCUGGUUUGGGGGUCUACGCUUUCUCAUCCUGUCCUGCCACCCAAGUGAAGUUAUUCACAAGUGGCUCCAGUCUGGUUUGGGGGUCUACGCUUUCUCAUCCUGUCCUGAGUGAUUCUUGACAUUGAAAUUAUAUCAAAAUUUGUCAAUAAAUGUUCAUACUUUUGUCAUUAA